rnacentral:rRNA from 1 species
GAUGAACGCUGACAGAAUGCUUAACACAUGCAAGUCUACUUGAACUUCGGUUUGGGUGGCGGACGGGUGAGUAACGCGUAAAGAACUUACCUCACAGUUAGGGACAACAUUUGGAAACGAAUGAUAAUACCUGAUAUUAUGAUUUUAGGGCAUCCUAAGAUUAUGAAAGCUAUAUGCGCUGUGAGAGAGCUUUGCGUCCCAUUAGCUAGUUGGAGAGGUAACGGCUCACCAAGGCGAUGAUGGGUAGCCGGCCUGAGAGGGUGAACGGCCACAAGGGGACUGAGACACGGCCCUUACUCCUACGGGAGGCAGCAGUGGGGAAUAUUGGACAAUGGACCAAAAGUCUGAUCCAGCAAUUCUGUGUGCACGAUGACGUUUUUCGGAAUGUAAAGUGCUUUCAGUUGGGAAGAAAAAAAUGACGGUACCAACAGAAGAAGUGACGGCUAAAUACGUG